GGCGCACGGGUGAGUAACGCGUACACAAUCUACCUUUAAGUGGGGCAUAGCCCUGGGAAACUGGGAAUAAUACCGCAUAAUAUUACAAUAUCGCAUGGUAUAGUAAUUAAAGCUGAGGCGCUUAAAGAUGAGUGUGCGUUCCAUUAGUUAGUUGGUGAGGUAACGGCUCACCAAGACGACGAUGGGUAGGGGGCGUGAGAGCGUGGUCCCCCACACGGGUACUGAGACACGGACCCG
rnacentral:rRNA from 1 species